rnacentral:rRNA from 1 species
ACAGGUUAAUAUUCCUGUACUUGGUGUUACUGCGAAGGGGGGACGGAGAAGGCUAUGUUAGCCGGGCGACGGUUGUCCCGGUUUAAGCAUGUAGGCUGGUUAUCCAGGCAAAUCCGGAUAAUCAAGGCUGAGGUGUGAUGACGAAGCACUACGGUGCUGAAGUAACAAAUGCCCUGCUUCCAGGAAAAGCCUCUAAGCAUCAGGUAACAUCAAAUCGUACCCCAAACCGACACAGGUGGUCAGGUAGAGAAUACCAAGGCGCUUGAGAGAACUCGGGUGAAGGAACUAG